GGCUCAAUGGUCUAGACGUAUGAUACACGCUUCGGGGAUUUCGCUUUCCAGUGAUUUCUGACUCACUCACUUGUGUGUGGUCCCGGGUUCAAUUCCCGGUUGAGCCC